rnacentral:lncRNA from 1 species
AUGUCAUGGCUGUCAGUGUGGCUCCUGUUCAGAGCUUGGAUCCAGCACUGGCUUCUUAAGAUUGGGCAAAUUACACAUAAAGGGAUGGGCAAGCUCUGCCUGACCAGAAUAGUGUUCACUGAAUUCUGGAGCAUUCUCAAACCUACUGCACAAAACCACCAUAGCAGGAGAGAGAGAGAGAGAGAGCUGGUUGGAGGAAGUGCAGGGCGGGAGCUGGGAAGUGGUUUCUUUGUUCUGGGAGAUUUCAGCCGGCAGGAACCGCAAAUUUUACUGUCUCCAAACCAAAAGCCCUCCCCCCUCCCCCAUUACCUCUUUCCUUUACAACCUGGGAAUUCAUUCGCUGCCUCCCUCGGCCUCUUCCUCUGCCUAGAGCAGUCUCCAGGGACAGAUCUCUUUGUUGAGUACUCUUCGAGACAAUUCAGAGUUGCAAAGUUCCCGGGUCACAGCCAGGGCUGUUCUCUGAAGAUAGUGGUCUCUCGGGUACAGACCCCCACCUGUGGAUCUGUCCCUUCCUGGGGUAUCUUUCAAGGGACAGAAGAGAAGAUGUUAAUUUGGAUGGAAUUUUUAUCCUUUGGAAAUUCACAGGUGGAAGGAAGACUUUUGAACUGUAUGUCACCGGCUCUGUGUGAGUGUAGUAACUGUUACAAGAAAGGCAAUUGGGACACCUGGUUUGCUGACUUUUGA